rnacentral:rRNA from 1 species
ACUUUGAAACGCGGACGCCAGUUCGUGUGGAGUCGUCGUUGAAAUACCAGUCUGGUCGUGCUGGAUGUCUAACCUGGGUCCGUGAUCCGGAUCAGGGACAGUGUCUGAUGGGUAGUUUAACUGGGGCGGUUGCCUCCUAAAGGGUAACGGAGGCGCCCAAAGGUUCCCUCAGCCUGGUUGGCAAUCAGGUGUUGAGUGUAAGUGCACAAGGGAGCUUGACUGUGAGACCGACGGGUCGAGCAGGGACGAAAGUCGGGACUAGUGAUCCGGCGGUGGCUUGUGGAAGCGCCGUCGCUCAACGGAUAAAAGGUACCCCGGGGAUAACAGGCUGAUCUUCCCCAAGAGUCCAUAUCGACGGGAUGGUUUGGCACCUCGAUGUCGGCUCGUCGCAUCCUGGGGCUGGAGUCGGUCCCAAGGGUUGGGCUGUUCGCCCAUUAAAGCGGUACGCGAGCUGGGUUUAGAACGUCGUGAGACAGUUCGGUCCCUAUCCGCUGUGCGCGUAGGAGUCUUGAGAAGGGCUGUCCCUAGUACGAGAGGACCGGGACGGACGAACCUCUGGUGUGCCAGUUGUUCUGCCAAGGGCAUGGCUGGUUGGCUACGUUCGGGAGGGAUAACCGCUGAAAGCAUCUAAGCGGGAAGCCUGCUUCGAGAUGAGGACUCCCACCCACUUGAUGGGGUAAGGCUCCCAGUAGACGACUGGGUUGAUAGGCCGGAUCUGGAAGCCAGGUAACUGGUGGAGGUGACCGGUACUAAUAGGCCGAGGGCUUGUCCUC